rnacentral:rRNA from 1 species
AUGCCUUACACAUGCAAGUCGAACGGCAGCACGGGAGCAAUCCUGGUGGCGAGUGGCGAACGGGUGAGUAAUACAUCGGAACGUGCCCUGUCGUGGGGGAUAACUAGUCGAAAGAUUAGCUAAUACCGCAUACGACCUGAGGGUGAAAGCGGGGGACCGUAAGGCCUCGCGCGAUAGGAGCGGCCGAUGUCUGAUUAGCUAGUUGGUGGGGUAAAGGCCCACCAAGGCGACGAUCAGUAGCUGGUCUGAGAGGACGAUCAGCCACACUGGGACUGAGACACGGCCCAGACUCCUACGGGAGGCAGCAGUGGGGAAUUUUGGACAAUGGGGGCAACCCUGAUCCAGCAAUGCCGCGUGUGUGAAGAAGGCCUUCGGGUUGUAAAGCACUUUUGUCCGGAAAGAAAUCCCUUGCCCUAAUACGGCGGGGGGAUGACGGUACCGGAAGAAUAAGCACCGGCUAACUACGUGCCAGCAGCCGCGGUAAUACGUAGGGUGCGAGCGUUAAUCGGAAUUACUGGGCGUAAAGCGUGCGCAGGCGGUUUUGUAA